rnacentral:rRNA from 1 species
UGAUUCAGGUAGGCUGGUCUGAGAAGAACGAUCAAGUCACAUGAAGCUGAGAACACGUCAGACUCUUACGGAGGCAGGCAGUGGGGGAUUUGACAUGGGCGCAGCUGAUCAGCAUGCGCGUGAGUGAGAAGUCUCGGGUUGUAAAGCUCUUUUUGUCAGGGAAGAAACGGUGAAGGGCUAAUAUCCUUUGCUAAAUGACGGUACUGAAAGAAUAAGCACCCGGCUAACUACGUGCCAGCAGCCGCGGUAAUACGUAGGGUGCAAGCGUUAAUCGGAAUUACUGGGCGUAAAGCGUGCGCAGGCGGUUUUGUAAGUUUGUCGUGAAAUCCCCGGGCUCAACCUGGGAAUGGCGAUGAAGACUGCAAGGCUAGAAUCUGGCAGAGGGGGGUAGAAUUCCACGUGUAGCAGUGAAAUGCGUAGAGAUGUGGAGGAACACCGAUGGCGAAGGCAGCCCCCUGGGUCAAGAUUGACGCUCAUGCACGAAAGCGUGGGGAGCAAACAGGAUUAGAUACCCUGGUAGUCCACGCCCUAAACGAUGUCUACUAGUUGUCGGGUUUUAAUUAACUUGGUAACGCAGCUAACGCGUGAAGUAGACCGCCUGGGGAGUACGGUCGCAAGAUUAAAACUCAAAGGAAUUGACGGGGACCCGCACAAGCGGUGGAUGAUGUGGAUUAAUUCGAUGCAACGCGAAAAACCUUACCUACCCUUGACAUGGACGGAAGCCCGGAGAGAUUUGGGCGUGCUCGAAAGAGAGCCGUCACACAGGUGCUGCAUGGCUGUCGUCAGCUCGUGUCGUGAGAUGUUGGGUUAAGUCCCGCAACGAGCGCAACCCUUGUCAUUAGUUGCUACGAAAGAGCACUCUAAUGAGACUGCCGGUGACAAACCGGAGGAAGGUGGGGAUGACGUCAAGUCCUCAUGGCCCUUAUGGGUAGGGCUUCACACGUCAUACAAUGGUACAUACAGAGGGCCGCCAACCCGCGAGGGGGAGCUAAUCCCAGAAAGUGUAUCGUAGUCCGGAUUGUAGUCUGCAACUCGACUACAUGAAGUUGGAAUCGCUAGUAAUCGCGGAUCAGCAUGUCGCGGUGAAUACGUUCCCGGGUCUUGUACACACCGCCCGUCACACCAUGGGAGCGGGUUUUACCAGAAGUAGGUAGCUUAACCGCAAGGAGGGCGCUACCACGUAGAUCGUUGA